rnacentral:lncRNA from 1 species
AUGGCGCCAUCAGCCCCCCCACCCCGAGCCUGGGACGUUACUACAGCUGGAGUUCGUUUGCAUCGGGAUUGCAGCUCCCUUCGGGAGCUAAGUCUGCAUUAUGCAAAUGACUUGUGCCAGGACUCUCCAGAAAUUACCGAGCCACGGGGGAUUUGCCUGACUGCUUCACCCUUUCCAUCCAGCUCCAGACUGAAAACAGAUACCGUUGGUCAAUGCACAGUUUCAGGACUUGACAAGCCAGAGAUUCUGAUGAGUCCGCGUCACGGCACUGAACUUUUCCAGAAUAAUGUACCACGUUUCCGGUAAGUCUUUGCAUAUAUUUUAAUUUUAAAUACUGGGUUCACCAGUAUGAUU